rnacentral:rRNA from 1 species
AGAGUUUGAUCCUGGCUCAGGACGAACGCUGGCGGCGUGCCUAAUACAUGCAAGUCGAGCGCAUGAAAUUAUUUGGUCCUCUUCGGAGGUGACGAUAAUGGAAUGAGCGGCGGACGGGUGAGUAACACGUAGGCAACCUGCCUGUAAGACUGGGAUAACUCGUGGAAACGCGAGCUAAUACCGGAUAACACUUUUCAUCUCCUGAUGAGAAGUUGAAAGGCGGCUUUUGCUGUCACUUACAGAUGGGCCUGCGGCGCAUUAGCUAGUUGGUAAGGUAACGGCUUACCAAGGCGACGAUGCGUAGCCGACCUGAGAGGGUGAUCGGCCACACUGGGACUGAGACACGGCCCAGACUCCUACGGGAGGCAGCAGUAGGGAAUCUUCCGCAAUGGACGAAAGUCUGACGGAGCAACGCCGCGUGAGUGAUGAAGGUUUUCGGAUCGUAAAACUCUGUUGUUAGGGAAGAACAAGUACUAUAGUAACUGAUAGUACCUUGACGG